rnacentral:rRNA from 1 species
AUGCCUUGGACUAAACCCAGGAAAGGUUGGAGUAAACUAAAUAUUGAUGGCUCCUUUGUGUCAAGUAAUGAUGCGGGGGCGGGCAUGAUUCUGCGUGAUGAGGAAGGGAGGAUUAUUUUUGCAGCAUGCAGGGCCCUGUAUUCAUGCAAUGAUGCACUUGAGGCGGAGCUAUCCGCCUGCUUGGAGGGUUUGUCUUCAUCAAUUCAACGAACAGACUUGCCGAUCGAAGUGGAGAUGGAUUCCUCAGUGGCAGUUUCCAUUAUCACAUGUGGAGACUUUGAUCGAUCUAUAUACUCGUCGCUAGUUAAUGAUAUUAGAAGUUUACUUUCUUCUCAUCAAUCUUGUAUUACUCUCGUCGUUCGAUCGCAGAAUAAAGCGAGCGACAUCUUAGCUUCCUAUGGACGUACAAACAGAAGGACUAUGACCUGGUUAGGGUCAGGUCCGCCUGGGGUAUUGGAGGUAGUUCAGGAAGAAUGUAAUGAGACUUUGAUUGAGUAA